rnacentral:rRNA from 1 species
AUUGAACGCUGGCGGCAGGCCUAACACAUGCAAGUCGAACGGUAACAGGAAGCAGCUUGCUGCUUGCUGACGAGUGGCGGACGGGUGAGUAAUGUCUGGGAAACUGCCUGAUGGAGGGGGGAUAACUACUGGAAACGGUAGCUAAUACCGCAUAACGUCGCAAGACCAAAGAGGGGGACCUUCGGGCCUCUUGCCAUCAGAUGUGCCCAGAUGGGAUUAGCUUGUUGGUGGGGUAACGGCUCACCAAGGCGACGAUCCCUAGCUGGUCUGAGAGGAUGACCAGCCACACUGGAACUGAGACACGGUCCAGACUCCUACGGAAGGCAGCAGUGGGGAAUAUUGCACAAUGGGCGCAAGCCUGAUGCAGCCAUGCCGCGUUGUAUGAAGAAGGCCUUCGGGUUGUAAAGUACUUUCAGCGGGGAGGAAGGUGUUGUGGUUAAUAACCACAGCAAUUGACGUUACCCGCAGAAGAAGCACCGGCUAACUCCGUGCCAGCCGCUGC